AACGCUGGCGGCGUGCCUAAUACAUGCAAGUCGAGCGAACAGAUGAGGAGCUUGCUCCUCUGACGUUAGCGGCGGACGGGUGAGUAACACGUGGAUAACCUACCUAUAAGACUGGGAUAACUUCGGGAAACCGGAGCUAAUACCGGAUAAUAUAUUGAACCGCAUGGUUCAAUAGUGAAAGACGGUUUUGCUGUCACUUAUAGAUGGAUCCGCGCCGCAUUAGCUAGUUGGUAAGGUAACGGCUUACCAAGGCAACGAUGCGUAGCCGACCUGAGAGGGUGAUCGGCCACACUGGAACUGAGACACGGUCCAGACUCCUACGGGAGGCAGCAGUAGGGACUCUUCCGCAAUGGGCGAAAGCCUGACGGAGCAACGCCGCGUGAGUGAUGAAGGUCUUCGGAUCGUAAAACUCUGUUAUUAGGGAAGAACAAAUGUGUAAGUAACUAUGCACGUCUUGACGGUACCUAAUCAGAAAGCCACGGCUAACUACGUG
rnacentral:rRNA from 1 species